rnacentral:tRNA from 1 species
AGUGUUGUAGGUUAAAAUAAACCAAUGAACUUAUUCUUCAGAGAUGGGCGUUUGAUCUGCCCCGACACAA